UCUCCUGGCUCAGCCUCCUGAGCAGCUGGGAUUACAGAACUGAUGCUUCAGGAAGAUGCCCUGAAUGUCACUGGUGUGAAUCACAAUGAGGUAUUUAAAACGCAGCAGUUCAUUGGGAUUUAUUUUACAAAAAUAACAUUGAAGAUGAGUAAGAAUUACUGUUUCAAUUUGAAGAAUAAACCCCUGUCAACCAAAGCAUGGCAACAGUAUGUUUUUUUCAAAAAAAAAUCCAUCUUGACUAUGUAAUUUUCCACCCAAAAUAUGACAGAUGGCUUUACUUAAAUAAAUGACUGCACUAUGUAAGAUCAUA